UGUCGCUUAGUGAGCUGACAGAUCACUUGGUGGACUGGGGGAAGUCUCCUCUCUGCUCCUGUCUUCUCCUCUCCUCCCCUCUCCUCUCCUCUCCCUUCUCUCUUCUCCUCUUCUCUUCCUCCUCCUCUCCAGGGACGGAGCUUUCGUCCAGAGCCAUUUUUCAGCCAAUUUAUUUCUUGAUGCGGUCUAACCUGGGGCAUCUCCCGCUGGGGAGGCUUUAUGUGGUGAUUAAUGACGGGUAUUUAGCCCAGAUACCUGAGGGAGCUGGAGCCCAUCUGCACAACACUGACAGGUACAACACUGCACUCCGGGACCAGACAGGACAGGACAGGCCUGCAGCAGACUGGAGAGUGGCAGACAGAUACUUCACAGCCUGCAUAGUCCUACUUCCAGAGCAUCAAAUGAAAGAGCAAGAGGACCCGCCGGCUGAGGCCAGAUGAUUUAGACAUCUAUUAUACGCUUGAACGCCUUGUCUUCUUCACUCCAUCAUAGACCAUCUCUCAGCAGAACAGGCCCAGAUGCCAGAAGGACCCUAAUGAGAUUAGGCUGCGGACAGGAGGCCCAUGCAGUGCUGUCUGUGCCAGGCAGGCAGCCUGGCUGUGUCUAGCUGUGGGAGGCAUAACAGACAGGUAUUGAUAUGGAUUUCUCUCCAGUAGGCCCCAGCAGAGAGCCCGGGGACUGUUAAUAGGCCUCUAACGGGAUGACCAGCCUGUGGACGGCCCCCGCCGACCCCCCAGCACUCAUGGAGAAGGGGAGAUGAUAACAGAUGGAGGGGGGAAAAGGCGCUCUUCCUGUUUGAUGGACAGACGGAGAAAGGUGGGGAUGAGCAGGGGGGUGGUGCGCGGGUGAGUGACAGCUCUUGGUGGGACAUCAGAAAGCGACAGUGCUCAACUUUUUCUGAGGGCAACUUUUCCUCUCUGUGGCCCUCCAGCCUGUCCUUUGUGCAGCUGUUGUAUGUUCUGGAGUAAUGUUCGGGAAAUACUCUAAUUUACUAUUUGAAGCUGCAACUGGGAAUAUUCAGAGAGAUGUUCAGGUGUUUUAGCACAGUGCUUCUGGUGUAAACCAAGUAGAAAUUAUACUUCUGAUACUUAUAGUAUUUAGCACUUGCCAUUUAUUUGUAUCUUCAUUUUCUCUCUUUGACUCUCGUUUACAAUCUACAUUUUUAAAUCCAGAUUCUGAGCCAAACUUAAACACUCCAAAUCUGACUCUGAACACCUGUUUUCACCCAAAAACUAACUUUCUCUUUGUCUCUGCCAAAAAAGAAAACAUGGAGUCAUUUUGCUCAGCAAGUAUAAAUCGAGUCUUACGUAUCGCGUUGCCGUGAAAACCUGUGAUGAAGUGUUGUGUACUACUACUCGACUGCAACAGGGUUGUAGAUAGCUUGGCAUUUCUCCCCGGUGGUAGUUAGUGUCAUGGUUAGCAGCUGCUAGAUUCCAGUGCAGCAUCCAGUGGCUAUUAGCACAGCAUCUGCUGCUGCUGACAUUAUCAAUAUAGCUAAUCAGAGCACUGCUGUUUUUAUGACAUUGUGUACUAGAGAGAAAGAUUGCUGAACAAAGCUACUUUCACAUCUUUUUUACGGAGCAGGACUGUGUGUGUUUACUGAUAUUUUAUCAUAUUUUCAAACUGUAUUGUAAAUGAAUGUUUAUAUUAUUCAAAACUUAGAUGCUUAUGCAGAAAUUUGGCUUUAAAACAAUACACAAUUGAAUCACAAAUUACCAGCUGACCUUACAGUUGCUUCCAGUUUCUACAAGACCAGAUUGGACUGAUUAUUGAUGACUGAUACUGAUUUUAUUGUUUUCUACUAAAGCAAUGGAUGCCUUGACUCAGUUAACACUAUGGAGCUUAUAUAUUUAUAUGUACUAAAGCAAAUAAAUGUGAUUUUAUUCUUUGUUUCCAUAAAAACAUAAAAAGGCACUCUUGAACAAGUCAAAAGAAAUGAGAGAGGAGAAAAUAAAUUACAUUCAGGAGUUGCUAGAUUUCUAGUUGACCUUAAAAUGUAAAAGUAAAAAUAGUAACCUAACAACAACAGCAACAUAAUGAAUAUAAUAAGAACAAUGAUCAUUAUCAUUAUCAUCAUUUAGAAAGGAAAAUAAAAUAAAAGCCUCCACCAUAACAUAAAAGGAGAAAAGACCAAAAGUCUCUUUAUGUUAAUCAUCUGCAUCAAAAAACAAACAAGAUACUAAAAAGAAAUAAUAAUGAUAAAACUGCAGGCUGCUUUAAGGAGAUGUAAACAACCAACUCAAAAAUUAUCUGCAAGAAACAACAGAAAACUUUUUUUUUCUUUCUAUAAAAUGGCAUUUAACCAAGCUUGUCAUUGCUCUCAUCAUCAUAUAGCAGAUUUGUAAAUGUGUUUGUGUCCUGCCUUGUU